rnacentral:tRNA from 1 species
GAUCCCGUAGCUCAACCGGAUAGAGCAACAGAUUUCUAAUCUGUAGGUUGCAGGUUCGAGUCCUGCCGGGAUCGCCA